AUACAUACCCAUAAAUAUUCGCAGCGCUCACAAUGAUGCUGUAUCAUUUUUAAUGCUUGCUUGGAAUCAGCUGAAGGCAAGUGUAACAGCGAAAUGUUGGA